CUCCUCUCUACCGCUGAAGCCUCAUCUCAGCACAGGACAGGGAACCAGUGCUCAACCUUCCCUGACAAAGCCACAGAAGGGAGAGGGAGGCCCUGUUGCUACAAAUAAAUGAAUCUGUGUUCUGGCGUUGCUGGCUCGUAUACCAUCACUUCCAACUGAUUGAAGGUGGUCAGUGGUGAGAAUGCAGACAUGACGGGAUGCUGGCAAAUUAAAUAUAUGACUCAGAGGAUUCAUCCACUGACUGACAAUCUAGUUUCUACGAGGAUCCUUGUGGUCACAUGUGGCUGCGUUAAUUCUAGAACUUACAUCAUUGUUAGGAGCUACAGCAGGGAGAGGAAUCUUCUUUUUGUUAGAAGCCCUUUGAAAAUGACUUCUCAAAUCUCAUUGUCUUGACUGGGUUUUAUGUCUGCCUUUGAACUAAUUUCUGGGAUAGAAUGAUGGCUUUAAGCCUAUCAGGCUCAACUCCUGGAGUUUGGGGUCAGGUUACACAAGAUCACAUGGGCUAGAAUGGAGGAAAACUGGUUUUCCAAAGAAAUGUUGGGGUUCUGAUGGUGGGACAAUAGAGGAGUGGAUACUGGGGAGUCUGACUGCAAAUGUCCAAGGGCAAUGACUUACCCAAGGUCAAGCAGCUGGUCAUGGCCAAGUUGG